AGCUCUCCAGCUCUGUCCUUUUGUGUUAUUUGCAAGGCACUCCUUCUGCAGUUACUGUUUGACAUCUUGGACACCACGUGAGCUUCAGACAUGGGCCUUUUCUCUUCUCUUUUGGGUUUAUGACUCUCUCGGCCCAUGUUCUGUUGUUCACUGCUAAUAAGUGAUGACUGAAAAAUCCGUGUGUCCCAACAAUAGUUGCAAAAGCCACAUACUCUCUGGAUAGGCAAGAACUCAUCUACAAUUUCAGUUGCAUCUAUAUUUGGCGUUUUGGCAUGGAAGAAAAACGGAUUCAAGAACAGUCUCCAUUCUCGGUGAUAGACCUUCAAAGCCGGUUGUAUUCAGCUUGCAAUCU
rnacentral:lncRNA from 1 species